rnacentral:rRNA from 1 species
CGGUUGAUCCUGCCGGAGGUCACCGCUAUUGGGAUUCGACUAAGCCAUGCGAGUCGAGAGGGUUCGGCCCUCGGCUGACGGCUCAGUAACACGUGGAUAAUCUGCCCUAUGGUGGAGGAUAACCUCGGGAAACUGAGAACAAUACUCCAUAGGUCUAGGAGGCUGGAAUGCAUCUAGACUGAAAACUCCGGUGCCAUAGGAUGAGUCUGCGGACUAUCAGGUUGUAGUCAGGGUAAUGACCUGACUAGCCUACGACGGAUACGGGUUGUGAGAGCAAUAACCCGGAGAUGAUAUCUGAGACACGAUAUCAGGCCCUACGGGGCGCAGCAGGCGCGAAAACUUCACACUGCGCGAAAGCGCGAUGAGGGGAUCCCAAGUGUAUGCACGUAAGUGUAUACUGUUUCUAUGUUUAAAACGCAUUGAGAGUAAGGGCUGGGUAAGACGGGUGCCAGCCGCCGCGGUAAUACCUGCAGCUCGAGUGGUGAUCACUAUUAUUGGGCCUAAAACGUCCGUAGCCGGUCUAGUAAAUGCCUGGGUAAAUCGUACGGCUUAACCGUACGAAUUCUGGGUAGACUGCUAAACUUGAGACCGGGAGAGGCUAGAGGUACUCCUGGGGUAGAGGUGAAAUUCUGUAAUCCUAGGGGGACCACCAGUGGCGAAGGCGUCUAGCUAGAACGGGUCUGACGGUGAGGGACGAAGCCCUGGGGCGCGAACCGGAUUAGAUACCCGGGUAGUCCAGGGUGUAAACGCUGCUUGCUUGAUGUUAGUCGGGCUCCGAGCCCGAUUAGUGUCGGAGUGAAGAUGUUAAGCAAGCUGCCUGGGAAGUACGAUCGCAAGAUUGAAACUUAAAGGAAUUGGCGGGGAAGCACAGCAACGGGUGGAGCGUGCGGUUUAAUUGGAUUCAACGCCGG